AUUGAACGCUGGCGGAAUGCUUUACACAUGCAAGUCGAACGGCAGCACGGACUUCGGUCUGGUGGCGAGUGGCGAACGGGUGAGUAAUGUAUCGGAACGUGCCCAGGCGUGGGGGAUAACGUACUGAAAAUUACGCUAAUACCGCAUACGAUCUAUGGAUGAAAGCGGGGGAUACCAAGACCUCGCGUGAUUGGGGCGGCCGAUAUCAGAUUAGGUAGUUGGUGGGGUAAAGGCCCACCAAGCCAACGAUCUGUAGCUGGUCUGAGAGGACGACCAGCCACACUGGAACUGAGACACGGUCCAGACUCCUACGGGAGGCAGCAGUGGGGAAUUUUGGACAAUGGGCGAAAGCCUGAUCCAGCCAUUCCGCGUGCAGGAUGAAGGCCCUCGGGUUGUAAACUGCUUUUGUACAGAACGAAAAGGUUUCUACUAAUACUAGGAGCUCAUGACGGUACUGUAAGAAUAAGCACCGGCUAACUACGUGCCAGCCGCCGCCGUAA
rnacentral:rRNA from 1 species